CAGGUUAUCUCUGAUUUGGACCUGGCACAAAAAAAAAGAGUCCUAGUGGAGAAGUGGGAAGCAGUCUGUGGCCGUGGGGACCAUAAGGUGCUGUACAGUUUCUUGUCGGUCAGCAAAGAUAGUGAUGAUUUUGCUGUGCUGACUAUGCCAGAGGAAUUUUUAAUACAUUUGGGCAUACAAUACCAUUCAUGAUAGGACUUAGCUGCAAACAUGUGUUGUGGUGUGUUGACUGUGAUCUCAAACGGAAUGAAAUCCGUAGUCUAAACAGGUUCAAGAGAUAUUAUGGACUAAAAAUUUUCAACCUGGUACAAUUAGACUACGUUGGAGAUGAUUUGUUCAUCAUUAGGCUCUUCAAAGAGACAGCAUUCGAGUCUAAAUACCCCACUGGCAGAGCGAAUGAUGUGGAAUGGAGCAAAGAUUGGGAGACACUGAACAGAGCGCAGUAUGUUAUCGACACCAGCACACUUGAGUGUGAAAAGGCAAUGGCCUCGAUUUCUUUCAAUGCCUGCGCAAACAGAACUGAUUAUGCAUAUCUUAUCUUUGUAGAAUCAAAAUUUGAUGAAGGCAGAGGAAAC